CCCCCCUCUCGCUGUCUGCUUCCCGGCUGAUGUGUGAUGAGCAGCUUGGCCCCGCCAUACUUUCUACUGUUACACAGCAAUCUCGACAGCACGGAGCUGGAGUGCUGACCCAGAUGCUAUUGUACACAUUGGAGUGUUCCUCACUCCAGAUUCUAAUCUUUCCUUUAUGAGUCAGGUUCCUCUGGAAAUGGCACAUGUGGAAACACAAACAAGCCACAGAACACGUGAAAGCCCUAUGAAGCAAAUGGAUGCACAUCGGCAGCCAGAGGGAUGACCAUGACCGGCAGCCUAAGAAAAAGCAAGCUGCAAGAUGUCAAGCAUGAAAGAAACAAACCAGUGGAACCCUUCCUCACCAGGCCAUGGUUCACUCUGGCAAUGUCAUUCAGACACAGACUUCCUUCGCUGACGUGGACUCAAUGCCAACAUCGUAAGUGCCACGUGAAAAUUAAGACUUAAGAGCAAUCCUCCAGACUCUACGUUCAAGGCCCUUCACAGCAUCAGUAUCUCGUUUCUCCUCCGAGAUCACAGUGAAUGACAAAGCUGUGUUAGUCUCAGCAUUUUUCCCAUUUAAAGAUUCAAGGCAGAGGAAGAUUAACAGCAGUCCGCUUCAGAGUGUAUCCCCAGCUUAAUCAGAAAGGGGGAGCUUAGGAAGAGAUGAAGGGGGAAACUACUUCAAAGUGAGACAAAGAAAACUACAUACAAAUCCUCGGUCCCCCCAUUCAAAGGCAGCUGGGAGUCCUGUUCCAAAAUGCCAACAGCUCAAUAAAUGGAGCUUCAGUCUC